rnacentral:lncRNA from 1 species
CCUCCAUUGAUCAGCCACAAAGGGCCUCUACAAGGAGCUAGCACUCCAGGGAGGUCGAUUUGAUCAUGCUUCAUGUGGAUAUCCGUAGAGGCCGAAUACGUAUGCAAGUAGGAGUAACAUACAAGCCUUCGGUAUUCAACUGCAGAGAUCUUCGACCCAUGUAUAGAUAUAGAAAUCAGAUUUCUAUCAUAUAUUAGAUUAGAUCUAAUAUUUUAUAUAUUAUUUUCAGAUUAUGCAUGCAUGUUUUAUGUCAUAAGAUCCAUAAUAAGGCAGUUACAGAUUAGAUCUAAUGCAUGGC